CGCGCCGCGUCUUAUUCACCGAGCCGCCGUAUAGCUCCACGCUUCUACUACCGCUCAACCACGCGCUAACAUACUAUUGUGAAAGUGUUCAAUCAAACUCGCCCGAUAGUGAGAGUAUUGCGAGUACAAAGUGUUUGGUGGGGAUCGUUUUGCAAAUUCCUAAAGAAAGGGUUCAAUGGAAGCGAGGUUCGUGACCUGCCGGAGUUUCCAGCAAAUCAAACCGCCGGAGAAGAGUCUGGCGCCGCCACCGACCGUGAAGGGUUUACUGUCCCGCUUCGGAAGUCAGGCCCAGGCACUGUUCGCGCCGAAGAAACAGCGCUUCGGCUCGUCGGUGGCCAUACACAAGCUAAGAGAGACAAAGUGGUUCAAGCAUGAGGAACAGAACAUCCUCUGCGCCGUACUGGAGUCAGGAUUCGUCCUCGAAGUUCGAGCGGAGGACCCUUUGCCACCAGACUCUACUCUAUCCCCAGACUACCAUAUGUUCGCCAUUGCCAUGUGGAAGAAGGGUAAAGAAAAAACAAAGAACCCGGAACAGAUAGAAGUGUACACCGUUCAGCAGAAAGGUGUGCGCAAACGCAUUGUAAGGACGACGCUCAGCGCGUUCUGGAAGAAAGAUUCCGUGAUCCGCAUCAACAAUGUCGACGACAAACAGGAGACGCCCAAUGUCGAAAAGGAUAUUCGAGCAAAGCUGGAUAUGGCUACUAAGUCAAGAUUCGAGAGGAAUUGGCAUAACACACUGCAUUUCGUCCACUGGUGCCGCUAUGGGGAGACUCCUCAAGAAGCUCGCAUGCGACAGAUAAGCCUAACGACGUCGAAAACACCCAUGAUUAUCAUCUUUUGAUGGUAAUCGUUGAGGCGCUUUGGACACUUACAGCUGGAAACUUACACUACCGAUAAGCGAGUCACUUAAGUGGGGCAAUGUCGGGAUGAAUAUGGGUGUGAUGCUUGUUAACCAGAACCAAAACGUGGCGCGAGCCAAGGCAAAGUCGGUCUGAGGGUCGCUGCCCAGCGGGUCUACCGCUGGCAACACCUGCUACGCUUGCUUCUGGCAACCCCGAGCCAACAUCGACAACGUUUAAUUUCGGAAUCCAAGAAAUUCGAAAAAGAUUUUAUUUUUUCGGAACUGGCAGCUAAUGGAACGUUUUGAAAUUCUCAGUUGUCUCUUCAGUAUUCGUACUGCCUAUCUUCUGUCUCUCUCCUUCUAGUCGGUCAACACCGCGCUAAGAAAGCUCCACUUCUUCAGUAUGAAGGCACUUCAUACGUUGACUUCACUUAUGGUAUCGCAAAAUUAUUUUUAAGGGAAGCUUUAAUUUUUUGUAGACAAAAACAAAAUCUGACAAAAAAGAGUGAAACAUUCCUGAUUUAAGACCCGUAGCUUCUAAAAUCGUAAUGCUCUAAUUGGUAAUUGGACUUGAGUGUGAGUCGGAAGUAGAGUUGACUUUUUAAAGAUGGCGUAAUUUUAUGCGCAAAAAUUGUACGCAGUUUUAAAUAAACUGACUUGCGCCUUGUAUUGUCUUGUAAUAGAGUAAUUGAUUGCUCAUUGUACGGACCAAUAGAGACGAUUGGACGACAACUAUUCAAGUCCCAUUACUAUUUAUAUCUACUGAUAUUACAGUUUUAUGUACUUUAUCAUAGAUUAUUUUUUAAGUCGUCUGGUUUGAUAAACUUAAUGUUCUGAGAGUGACCUAGUCUAUGAGUAUUUCUUAAAUACAACUUUCCAUACUUUCUGAUUUGACAAGACUGUUCAGAUUUUAUAUAAAAAAUGAUUUUGAUUUUAUUCGAAGUUGUUAAAAUCCGAUUACGAAAACUUUAUAUUAGAAAAAGUUAUUUAUAAACGCUCAGUUAAAAAACUAUGGAAACAAACAUUCCAGGAGAUAAAUAAAUAAAAAAGGGACUAGUGUUUUUUUAUAAAAAUUGCGUAUAAAAUAUUAUUAUACAGUUUCGUAGUCGGUGUAAAAAGUUUAAGAUGCAAAGUAUUGAAGUUUGUAGAAGUAUUUCUAUUUAUGAAUCUAGCCCUUUCUAGAUCUAUGGUGGGAUUUGCCAGGCCGAUUAGGUUGAGCAAUUAUUGUAUGAAAUCUCAAGAUUUGUGCCUAUUGUUGUGAGUUUGGAAUAGUGACGUAACUAUGAAAUUAUAAUCAGUAUAAUUAAUCAUAUUAAUUCAUAAAAAUAUCCUUUAAUCUGUGACAUUUCAGGCAUAUUUAUGUACAUUUUGACGAUAAGGUAUGUUUCUAAUCCGACUGUAUAAAAAGUAAUAUAUAUCAAAAAUAUAGGUAUAAUUCAGAAUUUGUAUUCAAUGAGACGGUCUCUUUAUUAUAUAACAAUUAUUUUAUUUGUAACGAGAAGAUUAAAACCCACAUCGCGAGGUAACCCACAUUCCCGAGAAAUGCAUUUUCGGAGGUAUGUGACCUAACCUAUAUUGAGCCGGUUUUCCCUUCGCGGGUUGGAAGGUCAGACAGGCAGUCGCUUCCAAAAACCUGUCAAAUCUUCAGGUUAGGUAAGCGGACCCUGUGAAAAACGGGAUAAUGCUAGGGGGAUGAUAUAACCAGAAGAUUAAAAGGUUUAAGGGUCUUAAAUACAAAUAAAAAAUAUUAAAAAAUCAUAGUUACGUCACGUGUGACAUGGUUAUGAGAUAAUUAAGUUAUUGUGACAAUUAUGUUGACUGUUGUGAGAGUAAUGUACUCAAUUAAGUUAAUUCUAUUUAUAAUGAAGCAUUUUUUAAUAAAUGAUUACUUAAUAAA